AGAGUUUGAUCCUGGCUCAGGAUGAACGCUAGCGGCAGGCUUAACACAUGCAAGUCGAGGGGCAGCAUACCCGGUGACGGGUGAUGGCGACCGGCGGAAGGGUGAGUAACGCGUGAGCAACAUACCCGUAUCAGUGGGAUAAUACAGGGAAACUUGUUCUAAUAUCACAUAAUAUUAUUCAGAGGCAUCUUUGGAUAAUUAAAGUUCAGGCGGAUACGGAAUGGCUCGCGUGACAUUAGCUAGAUGGUAGGGUAAAGGCCUACCAUGGCUAUGAUGUCUAGGGGUUCUGAGAGGGAGGUCCCCCACACUGGAACUGAGACACGGUCCAGACUCCUACGGGAGGCAGCAGUGAGGAAUAUUGGACAAUGGAUGAAAAUCUGAUCCAGCCAUGCCGCGUGCAGGAAGGCGGCCCUAUGGGUUGUAAACUGCUUUUGUACGGGAGCAAUAAGGUCUACGAGUAGAUUGAUGAGAGUACUGUACGAAUAAGCAUCGGCUAACUCCGUGCCAGCAGCCGCGGUAAUACGGAGGAUGCGAGCGUUAUCCGGAUUUAUUGGGUUUAAAGGGUGCGUAGGCUGUUAUAUAAGUCAGUGGUAAAAGGUACAGGCUUAACUUGUAUACGCCAUUGAAACUGUAUAGCUAGGAUAUGGAUGAAGUGUGCGGAAUGUGUGGUGUAGCGGUGAAAUGCAUAGAUAUCACACAGAACACCGAUAGCGAAGGCAGCACACUAAGGCAAUAUUGACGCUGAGGCACGAAAGUGUGGGGAUCAAACAGGAUUAGAUACCCUGGUAGUCCACACU
rnacentral:rRNA from 1 species